rnacentral:rRNA from 1 species
UACGGGGGGGGCAAGCGUUGUUCGGAAUUACUGGGCGUAAAGCGCACGUAGGCGGCUUUUUAAGUCAGGGGUGAAAUCCUGGAGCUCAACUCCAGAACUGCCUUUGAUACUGAGAAGCUUGAGUCCGGGAGAGGUGAGUGGAACUGCGAGUGUAGAGGUGAAAUUCGUAGAUAUUCGCAAGAACACCAGUGGCGAAGGCGGCUCACUGGCCCGGUACUGACGCUGAGGUGCGAAAGCGUGGGGAGCAAACAGG